rnacentral:tRNA from 2 species
CGGAGUGUAGCGCAGCCUGGUAGCGCACCUCGUUUGGGACGAGGGGGCCGCAGGUGUUCGAAUCCUGCCACUCCGACCA